UAAAUAUUGACAAUAGCAGAUGGCCGCACAGCGAAAGGUGAAAUGCAUUUUUGUGCAUCUACAUCUGUGUAUCGCGCUUAUUACGCAUUGCUGCCAGAUGGCGCGGCGUACUGGCAUCUAGCUGCGCUCAGCCGUGUUAUGCAGAAGCUUUGAUCAAAACAAUCCGUCGAGUGCUUUACUGCGUUGUUGUUCAUACGUGGGAUUAAGGAUCGAUUGCAUACAAUUGAGAGUUUUGAGCUCCAUUCGCAAACCAAGCCUCUUUGGACAAUCGACCACAGAGUUUGUUCAAGAAACAUCGUGCAUCACUCGCCGCCAGAGAAAUGAAGAUUUUGGUAUGCAUCAGCAUUUGCUGCUUUAUGCUGGUUCCAUUGCUCGGUGAGCCAGCCAUUUC
rnacentral:lncRNA from 1 species